rnacentral:tRNA from 1 species
AGGAUAAUAGUUUAAUAGAACAUUUAACUUGCACUUAAAAAGAAUAAUUCAAUUAUUUAUCUUA